GGAAGACUGCUGAGGGGACAGACUGCUGAGGUGAAAGUGUGGUGUUUGCUGUGAGAGUGAGCAGAUACUGCCAUAGAUCUCAGAGACCAGCAAGGCUGAAUAAGCUGAACAGGAAAUGGGGAAAGGCCACAGGCUUGCACACCAAUGGCCACAACCUGUUCACUCCCUGCAGGCAGGACACUCAUGCCGGGCCACCCUUCCUGAGGACACCUUCCUUCCCUUGCCUGGAGAGCAGCAUCCCGCCCUGGGCCACCCUCUAUGUGGAUGCCCUCCCCACUUCCCCAGGGCACUGAUUCCAAGCGCAAGGUGCACCUGCAAUAGACACUCCUCACUCCUCUAGUUCUGCCAUCCGGCCCUGGGCCAUCCUUCUGUGCAGACCCCUCCUCACCUCACUGAGGGUCUGAGUCUCCAUGCCAGGACACCCUCCCUGGCCAGGACCCGCUUCUGACCCUGCUUUGGUCUCCGACACAUGCUGGGCUGCCCCCUCCUAUGUUGGCACCCUCCUCACUCCACAUGGGCCGCAACCUCACACUGGUCCACCCGCCCCUUAUGUGAGCCUCUUUCUCACCCCAGUGGACUCAACCCUCCUGCUCUGGGCACUCUACUUCCUGCUCCCCACUCAGCUGCGGAGGCUUGCCUUGUUCUGCCUUACCUAAUGGCUUCUGAACAGAAUUUUCUGGAAGGGAGAGGAAGAAGCAGCGAGCUGGUUCUCUUGGCCUGUUCCUGGAUCCCAUCCUUCUCUUUUGUUCCCGGCUCCUCCAUUCUCUAGGAAUCUCAAUCUCUUCUGGCAUUGCUGAGUUCUCCAGGUAGGUGAGGUUUUUGCUGGCCUUCCGUGGGGCUCCCCUGCCUCCUACCCCAUUCCUGUGCUAUCUCUGAUGGCCUGGAGCUCUCUAAGGGUCAAAGCCAUGUGGGUUCUGCAGGAAACUCUGGAAGAAUGCCUCUGCUCAACACCUUACUUCGUCACAGUUGGCCAGAGAAUUCCCCAAUCAGUGUAUUGCCUGGGCGCCAUGUUUCACGGAGUUUGAUGUCAGCUUUUACAGGGUGUCUGUAGCAGCUCUGCUCUUACUCUUCUCCUUCCCUCCACAAUCUGGGCUGGGAGACAAACCUGACUGGCAGACAGCACCGUGCAUGUGGGAUUUCAUCCCAUGUCCCAGCUUAGGCCUUGUGCUGACCGAUUCAAGCCUGUAGUGCCCUCAUUCCUGUCCUCUUGAAAUAAUUAAUCUCCCCAGCUCUCAUACAAACAAACUUCUAGUUGCCCACCACCACCCAUUCUACACCUUUUAAAAGCCCAAUUGUGGGCACAGCUUGGGCUCACGCUGGACCUCCUUCAACUACCUGACUGAGCAUGCUUCUCUUACACUGUUCUCCUUCCCCUCAAUGUGCCCCAUGUGCCAAAGGUCCC